rnacentral:siRNA from 1 species
UAGAUGUGUGCAGGGCUAGGACA